UACAGAGGUCUCAACCGUUGUUCGGAUUCAUUGGGCGUAAAGGGUGCGUAGGCGGUCGGGUAAGUCGGAUGUGAAAUCCCAGGGCUCAACCCUGGAACUGCAUUCGAUACUGCCUGGCUAGGGUACUGGAGAGGGAUGCGGAAUUCCAGGUGUAGCGGUGAAAUGCGUAGAUAUCUGGAGGAACACCGGUGGCGAAGGCGGCAUCCUGGACCAACACUGACGCUGAGGAGCGAAAGCCAGGGGAGCAAACGGG
rnacentral:rRNA from 1 species